rnacentral:rRNA from 1 species
CCUACGGGAGGCUGCAGUAGGGAAUAUUGCUCAAUGGGGGAAACCCUGAUGCAGCAACGCCGCGUGGAGGAUGAAGGUUUUCGGAUUGUAAAGCCCUUUUGUUAGAGAAGAUAAUGACGGUAUCUAACGAAUAAGCACCGGCUAACUCCGUGCCAGCAGCCGCGGUAAUACGGAGGGUGCAAGCGUUACUCGGAAUCACUGGGCGUAAAGAGCGCGUAGGCGGGAUUGCAAGUCAGAUGUGAAAUCCUAUGGCUUAACCAUAGAACUGCAUUUGAAACUGUUAUUCUAGAGUGUGGGAGAGGUAGGUGGAAUUCGUGGUGUAGGGGUGAAAUGCGUAGAUAUCAAGAGGAAUACUGAUGGCGAAGGCGACCUGCUAGAACAUAACUGACGCUGAUGCGCGAAAGCGUGGGGAGCAAACAGGAUUAGAUACCCGUGUAGUC